UACAGAGGGUGCAAGCGUUGUUCGGAAUUAUUGGGCGUAAAGAGCUCGUAGGCGGUUCGUCGCGUCGGCUGUGAAAACCUGAGGCUCAACCUCAGGCCUGCAGUCGAUACGGGCGGACUUGAGUUCGGCAGGGGAGACUGGAAUUCCUGGUGUAGCGGUGAAAUGCGCAGAUAUCGGGAGGAACACCGGUGGCGAAGGCGGGUCUCUGGGCCGAUACUGACGCUGAGGAGCGAAAGCGUGGGGAGCGAACAGG
rnacentral:rRNA from 1 species